UACGGAGGGUGCAAGCGUUAAUCGGAAUUACUGGGCGUAAAGCGCGCGUAGGCGGCUUGUUAAGUCGAAUGUGAAAGCCCCGGGCUCAACCUGGGAACUGCAUCCGAUACUGGCUGGCUAGAGUGUGGUAGAGGGAAGUGGAAUUCCAGGUGUAGCGGUGAAAUGCGUAGAUAUCGGGAGGAACACCAGCGGCGAAGGCGGCUUUCUGGACCAAUACUGACGCUGAGACGCGAAAGCGUGGGGAGCAAACAGGAUUAGAUACCCGGGUAGU
rnacentral:rRNA from 1 species